rnacentral:rRNA from 1 species
UUCCGGUUGAUCCUGCCGGAGGUCAUUGUUAUCGGGGUUCGAUUUAGCCAUGCUAGUCGUGCGGGUUUAGACCCGCGGCGUAUAGCUCAGUAACACGUGGCCAAACUACCCACCAGACAGGAACGACCUCGGGAAACUGAGGCUAAGACCUGAUACCGCGCCGACCGUUUGAACACGUCGGCGCCUAAACGCUCCGGCGCUGGUGGAUGUGGCUGCGGCCGAUUAGGUAGACGGUGGGGUAACGGCCCACCGUGCCGAUAAUCGGUACGGGUUGUGAGAGCAAGAGCCCGGAGACGGAAUCUGAGACAAGAUUCCGGGCCCUACGGGGCGCAGCAGGCGCGAAACCUUUACACUGCACGCCAGUGCGAUAAGGGAACCCCGAGUGAAAGGGCAUAUCGCCCUUUCUUUUCUGAACCGUAGGGAGGUUCAGGAACAAGAGCUGGGCAAGACCGGUGCCAGCCGCCGCGGUAAUACCGGCAGCUCGAGUGAUGACCGAUUUUAUUGGGCCUAAAGCGUCCGUAGCUGGCCAUGCAAGUCCAUCGGGAAAUCCACCCGCUUAACGGGUGGGCGUCCGGUGGAAACUGCACGGCUUGGGACAGGAAGGCUCGAGGGGUACGUUCGGGGUAGGAGUGAAAUCCUGUAAUCCUGAACGGACCACCGAUGGCGAAAGCACCUCGAGAGGACUGAUCCGACAGUGAGGGACGAAAGCUGGGGUCUCGAACCGGAUUAGAUACCCGGGGUAGUCCCAGCUGUAAACGAUGUUCGCUAGGUGUGUCACUCACUACGAGUGAGUGAUGUGCCGCAGGGGAAGCCGCUAAGCGAACCGCCUGGGAAGUACGUCUGCAAGGAUAAAACUUAAAGGAAUUGGCGGGGGAGCACUACAACCGGAGGAGCCUGCGGUUUAAUUGGACUCAACGCCGGA